GACGAACGCUGGCGGCGUGCUUAACACAUGCAAGUCGAACGAUGAAGCCGGAGCUUGCUCUGGUGAAUUAGUGGCGAACGGGUGAGUAACACGUGAGUAACCUGCGCUUGACUCUGGGAUAACUGCGGGAAACUGUAGCUAAUACCGGAUACGACCCUCGGAGGCAUCUCCUGGGGGUGGAAAGAAUUUCGGUCAAGGAUGGACUCGCGGCCUAUCAGCUAGUUGGUGAGGUAAAGGCUCACCAAGGCGACGACGGGUAGCCGGCCUGAGAGGGUGACCGGCCACGCUGGGACUGAGACACGGCCCAGACUCCUACGGGAGGCAGCAGUGGGGAAUAUUGCACAAUGGGCGCAAGCCUGAUGCAGCAACGCCGCGUGAGGGAUGACGGCCUUCGGGUUGUAAACCUCUUUUAGCAGAGAAGAAGCGAAAGUGACGGUACCUGCAGAAAAAGCACCGGCUAACUACGUGCCAGCCGCCGCGGUAA
rnacentral:rRNA from 1 species